AUAUAGAAAAUAUUUACAGAAUACUUUAUUUUUUCAUUCCAUCGACACAUUAAGAUUACGUAGUAUCUGAAUUUCGUUACAUAGGAAUAUAUAGGAUACAAUCGGUAAUUACCUUGUCUAAUGUCUCGCGUCUCUUGGACAGCUAUGACCUAAAUAAUUGACAUGACAAAGAGUAAUAACCUCAAU
rnacentral:sRNA from 1 species